GUCUUUUUAAAGACAUAUUUGUAUAGUAUUCAAAUAACGGGCAUUUUUCUUGUUUCUGUCUGUCUGUCUCUGUUUCACUUGUUAACUCUUGUGGGUUCGAAGAAGGAGUGCUAUGAUAGUAGCAGAGUGUUAAUUGGUUGGGUGUUCUGACAUUGACCUGUUGACGGUCGUAGUGAUCUGUACUGUUUAUAAUGUUUGUGUAGGUGUUAUUCUAAACAGCAGUAGUAGUAAUAAAGUAAGGGAAGAGGUGGUGGAAAGGAAGACGAAGAUGAUGGAGAAGAUGAGGGAUGGGGAGAAGAAGAGAAAUAGUAAUAAUAGAAUGCAGGAUAGUGUGAUAGUAACUAGUCAAGUGUGUAGUGAUUGGGGUUGUUUUUUUAUUUCCUUGAGUAUCUAUUGGAAGUUUAUCAGCACACAAACACAGAGACACGAGAUAACACAGAAGGAACCAAAUGUGAUAAAAAUUAUCAAUCUAACUCACAAAGAAAUAACAGGAGACCAAAUCAGUAUACUCUCCAAAGGACUCAAGUUUACACCCAUCCCACAACGCUCCAACUACAAUGAAAUGAAAGAAGACAUUGUGGAAUUCUGUAGAAAAUUACGACUCUCUGAGGAGCUAUACGACAAAUACAAUGAGGACGAAUCGUUAGUCUGAAAUAGAAGUAACUACACCCCCUCAAAAGGUAAAUAGUGAACUGAUUCAACAGCAGAAAGUCAUAGAACUACAGAAUUGUUCUGUCAUUGUUGUUUUGGUAUGUACUGGUCACACUGCCAAUAAAAUUCCUAAGUUGAUGAAAUUUCCAAAAGCAACAGUUUAUCCUGUGUAUAAAUAUUUUAAAGAAGAGGGAAAGAUUGAUAGAAAUGAACACAAAACUCAAAGUGAUUCCAACAGCAAUCCAAAGUUUCUCGCUGGCCUCAAUCACUUGAUUGAAGCCAACCCAUCCACUUCCAUGACAACUCUUGCAAAGAAAUGUAAUGUGUGCCUUUCCACAGUGACCAGAGCUGUGAACAGGAACCUUAGUACAACUAGCUAUGUUCGACGAUGCCGUCAUUUCCUAACAGCCAAGGCCAAAGCAAUGAGAGCCGAGACAUGCCCAAAGCUUGUCAUUUAUCAAGCAUCAAGGUGCAGGAAAAACUCUCAUGUUUGUUGAUGAGAAGAAGUUUACUGUGGACGCUGAGGUGAAUUGCAGAAAUUCUCGAGUGAUUGCAUACAACCCCUCUGACAUCCCUCCCCUUGUGUUUGAGACUAAGAAUCCUGCCUCUGUGAUGGUAUUUGGAGUUGUGGUGAGUGAGGGAAGUGUCAUGGAUUCACACUUCAUUGAGUCUGGCUUGAAGAUUGGCACAAAAGAAUAUCUGGACAUCCUGAAUAACUCUCUGUUACUCUGAUGGAGCAGAAGUUUGGGCUUGAUAAUGUGGUGCUUAUCCAGGAUUCUGCUCUUUACCAUGGAUCAAAAGCAAUACAGGCCUUCCUUGGUGAGAAGGUGUCAUUUGUUGUGAGUGCCAACAUCUGAUUCAGUAAUAGCCCAGAUUUCAACCUUCUUGAUUACUUUUUAUGGGGCAUACUUCAAACAAGGACCAACACUUCACCAUACUCAAGUGUCAAUAAAACUAUUGACACUCGAAUGGGGUGAAGACCUGCAUCAUGCGUACAACAUCCAAAAUCAAAUAGCUGGAGGUUGCAGCUGCUGCAAAAUGAUUUCGUUCUUGUGUAGAGGUAGUAAUUGCCCAAAAGGGCAGCCAUAUUGAGUGAUAAAUGUUUUUGUUGUAAUAAAUG